rnacentral:lncRNA from 1 species
GAGAGAGAGAGAGCAGCAGGGUGUGUCUAUAAAAGUGGAUAUGUUCGGAGUAAAAAGUCUCACACCUGAGUUGGAUUGGGUGAGACAUUAACUUUGGGUGAACCGACCCGUAGCGCGUGCACGGGCUGCUUUGUGCGUACAUCGGAAGUGAGUCAUCGGCGCUGCGCUGUUAGCGUGGGUGUGUGCGCUGUUAAAAACGAGGCUCAGGCUGCUCCGUGUGACUCACUCUGAUGCUGGGCUGAUCACAGGAACUUUUUGGAAACGGUGCAGCCCCAAAGACUCCAUGGCUCCAAACGCUUUGUGCGCACUGUGCGGAUUUAUUCUAGCGGCUGUCACCAGCCUCCACUGCGCGAGCGCACAGAAAAGUAAAUCUGUGGACGAGACGCAUGACGUGUGGAAGCUGGCAGCCAUCACCAGUUUCUCGGUGCUCGCUGUGGUGCUGGUGGGGGCCGCGUUGAUCAUCGGGGUCAUGGUUCUUCGACGCAAGUCACACAAGCGCCCUCUACGUGGUGAGCUUCACACGUAUUAUCCCAGCCAUACACGCCUCUGUGUAUAUGUUUUUUUUCUUUCUAGUUUUGUUUUAUGGCGGGUUAAACAUAACGUUGACAUCUCCUCGUUUUUUAAGGAGUUGAAAUGGUUUGUUGUUGUCACGACGAUGUUAACAGAAUGA